rnacentral:rRNA from 1 species
CUACGGGCCGCUGCAGUGGGGAAUAUUGCACAAUGGGCGCAAGCCUGAUGCAGCCAUGCCGCGUGUAUGAAGAAGGCCUUCGGGUUGUAAAGUACUUUCAGCGGGGAGGAAGGGAGUAAAGUCAAUACCUUUGCUCAUUGACGUUACCCGCAGAAGAAGCACCGGCUAACUCCGUGCCAGCAGCCGCGGUAAUACGGAGGGUGCAAGCGUUAAUCGGAAUUACUGGGCGUAAAGCGCACGCAGGCGGUUUGUUAAGUCAGAUGUGAAAUCCCCGGGCUCAACCUGGGAACUGCAUCUGAUACUGGCAAGCUUGAGUCUCGUAGAGGGGGGUAGAAUUCCAGGUGUAGCGGUGAAAUGCGUAGAGAUCUGGAGGAAUACCGGUGGCGAAGGCGGCCCCCUGGACGAAGACUGACGCUCAGGUGCGAAAGCGUGGGGAGCAAACAGGAUUAGAUACCCGCGUAGUC